CAGCUGUUUUUGUUUUUACGUUGCAGCGUUCAUUGUAUUGAUUUUUGGUGCGCCAUCACCGUUCUCUGUACUGUCUGCGGUGUAUUUUUUUUUAUUUGGAACAAAUUGCCACAUCUUAAUAAUAUAUUCGUUCGUAUUGGACUGGGGUAGUUAUUAAAUGCAAUACUAAUGCUUUGUAACUACCUCAGUAUUUUAAUCGUGCAGAUAAUAUUUUCUUUCGAUGUGUACAAGACGCAACUAAUAAUGCAUUAAAUAUAAACACUAAAACGCAACUCUUGUAAGUAUUAGUUAACAAAACUUAAUUUUUCUAUAAUUCCUGUUGAUAUCAUAAUACUAUUUAAAUAUCACUAAUAUAUUACAAUUAACAAAACAGUGUCUUAUACCCAUGUAGCACACUAAAUACUUAACUGGGUUGAAGUAUGGCUUUGGGAUAAAAAAAAAAAAAUCACCCUCUUUAUUUUUUCUUCUUUCUCUUCAUUAUCUUAUCAGUGUUCUGCUUCUCAGGCAGAAUUUACAUUUCCUAUCCCAUUUCCCACACAAAAAUUCGAGAUUUCUUUUUUAUCGCCAAUAGUAUCAUUUCAUCAACAUCGAAUAUUAUAAAUUGUAAAGGUAACGUGAUUACAUGAAAAAUGAUAAAUACAUUUAUUUUUUGUGCUCCUUGUACGACUAAUGCUCUGUACGUGUUGAAUUUUUUGAUUUACCCAUUUCCCCGCAGAGUUCCUUAUGGAAAAAGUGCGCAUUUGUAGCUUAGAAAAAUGUAGACUGUAUAUUGGACGCUAUCUGAUUCGAAAUCAAAAGAUAUAAUUAAUAAUCAGUUUAAUUCCGAACAAUAUAACUAAGAAAACAUACGCAGCAAAAUAUUAAAAUUACAAUUAUUGAUAUUUUCAGUUAAAUAAUGCAAGACUAUUCAACUUAUGUUAAGUGAAAUAACAUAAUAUUAUGUAUCUAUAUUGGGUAAAUAGUAGGUAUAGAGUCAAAUAGGGUAAUUAGAAACUGCCUAUGUUAAUUUAAAAUAUAAUCAUGAAAAUAAUACCUUUAAACCAUUAUAUUCUAUUAUAUACCACUGCUCCAGUACCUACAUGUUUUGAUAAUCGUACUGAUAUUUCAAAGUUAUAUUCGAAAAAUUGAUACAUAUUAUGAAAACACCAUUAUUAUUUUUAGUCAUCACAAUUUAUUUUCAUUUACACCAAGCAAAAACAAUUAUAUUUUCAUUUGCUCCAAUGAUUGGUACUAUAAUUAUUUUGACAGGGUAAAUGAAAAUAGCAGUAUUUAUGUAAAGUGGGUAGUAUAUUGAUGUUGAAAUUUAAAAAUUAGAAUUAAUUAUUAAAUUUAGGUGAUAAUACAGAAAGCACAAAGAAAAAAGAAUAUAAUUUAUGUAUUUACUAAUAGUUUAUAGAACUUGCAAGUUUGGCUUCAGUUGACCCUAGUUAAUUUGUGAAGUUUUUUGUUUAAUUUGUUUAAGGUUGCUAGAAACCUGCCUGACUAGUAAAAGACUAGAUGGUUCACUGUGACAUCGCCGGCCCACGUUUCAAGUAUUACCUUACAGAAUAAGCAAUUGGCCAAUUAUUUGCUGUAGGAUUUCAAAGUUUCCUAUUAUGUAACUUCAUUAGAUUGAAUGGAAUAAAUUUAAUUUAUUGGGUCAUCUAUUGUGUUCAAAUGACAUGCAUUUUUUUUGUAAUUUUUUAUUUUCUGACAAAACAACUUUGGAACUUUCGAAAAACUAUUAUUUUUGUAGUUAUGACAAUUUGAAGACUAGGUAUGUCUAUAUUAGAGAACUUUAAUUAAGUAUAAAUGUAAUAAUAUUUAAAUAUAUAAUUUUUAAUAUUUUAUAUUAACUUAUAAUUUUGAAAAAUUUAAACCAUGUUAACUCUCACACACUUUUCCCACAUUAACCCUUAUCAUAUGUACAAUUUAGAGUACACACCACAAAUUACUAUAACUGUUUUUGUGUUUAAUAUUUUGAACACUGUCCUUCAUGGAUUCACUAUCAUUGUGUUGACUUAACACAGGAAUGUUGAUUUCGUAUAGGAGUAUGAAUCUUGUGGUAACCACAAACAAUUUCUAUAUUUUUACCAAACUUUUAGGAUGAAUUGUUUUUAUAUUAAAAGAAAAUACAUUUACAAAACUGCAACCUAACUUUUUCAUUUUACUUUUAGCAAAAAUAUAAAAAAAAAAUGAUCUACAUGUGAACAGCAAGUAUGUAGUAUACAAAAUAUUUUACAUUUUGGCAAUUAACAUAUUAAACUAAAAAUUUGAUCGAGACAUUUAACCUAUAUACUUAAGUAUCAUAGAAAAUACAAAUAAUACAAGAAAAUAUUUUUAUUCAUUAAUCUGAUUAAUUAUCUUCUAUAUAUCUUUGAAAGGAAAAAGUUAAAAACAACAUAUAAUUAUAAAAUUUAAAAUUUAAAAUGGCAAUUCGAUGUUCGGGUUUUAUUUAAU